rnacentral:tRNA from 1 species
AUCGAAUUGGUGUCUUAGCAUGGUAAUUUUUCGUGUUACAGGGUUCAGAAUUUUGAAAUUCGGUA